AACGAACGCUGGCGGCAUGCCUAACACAUGCAAGUCGAACGAGAUCUUCGGGUCUAGUGGCGCACGGGUGCGUAACGCGUGGGAAUCUGCCCUUUGGUUCGGAAUAACAGUUGGAAACGACUGCUAAUACCGGAUGAUGACGAAAGUCCAAAGAUUUAUCGCCAGAGGAUGAGCCCGCGUAGGAUUAGCUAGUUGGUGUGGUAAAGGCGCAACAAGGCGACGAUCCUUAGCUGGUCUGAGAGGAUGAUCAGCCACACUGGGACUGAGACACGGCCCACACUCCUACGGGAGGCAGAAGUGGGGAAUAUUGGACAAUGGGCAAAAGCCUGAUACAGCAAUGCCGCGUGAGUGAUGAAGGCCUUAGGGUUGUAAAGCUCUUUUACCAGGGAUGAUAAUGACAGUACCGGGAGAAUAAGCUCCGGCUAACUCCGUGCCAGCAGCCGCCGCCG
rnacentral:rRNA from 1 species